rnacentral:lncRNA from 1 species
GGAGAGGAGGGAGUGGAGCACGUUUUAUGUUGCUUGUUUUGCCGUGUUUGUCUUUUCGGACAACAAGGCUCAGGCUUUUGUGAACGCAUCCCAGGAUUACCCGAAUACAUCCCAGGCAAACCAGGCGAAGAAGUCGGCCUUUCGGCCACCAAGGCACAAACCAGGUACAAGACGACGAACGUUUUUAUAGUGUGAAGUUUAUUACACGAGCACAACUCAUCAGUUCGCUUUGCUCCUUGUAAUCAUUCCAUCGGUAAUCGCACCUCAUUCAACUCACUGUGCGCGUACCAUGUAUCAUCAGCCAAGUCCCGUCGCAACAUAGGCUGCAGCACCCCCACCCCCACCCACAACACAGUUAGACAAUUCUUCAGGUGGGCAAGCCUACAUACGCGUAGCGUGAGGAUUUGACACUGCUGAUGUGGUGACGCCAGGCCCAUCUGAGCAUCCCAGGUUACGACUUUGCUGUAUUACAGCUAAGCUUGGAGACUCAGUCAGAAAGCUUUGAAGGACAUCACCUAGAGGACAGGAUCUGACAGUAUGUACCACGUGAACAUCUGAAAGGCUUUGGGCCUGUUUCCCUUGGCUUUUGGUGCCACCUUUUAGUGCCUCUUUCCCCUAUAAGGAAAAAUAUGGCCCAUGGAAACCAUGGCCUUUUAAUGAUUUUUAGUGCCUACUAGGGACGGCCCUUUACUGAAGUACUAAAAGUACAACANNNNNNNNNNNNNNNNNNNNNNNNNNNNNNNNNNNNNNNNNNNNNNNNNNCCAGCGUAGCCAUCCGAUGUACGACCCGUACUAUUGUACGGCAAGGUAAAAAGUCGGUGGUCGGUGACCAGCAUGAAGGUAUCUUGUGCGGUCUCAAGGUACGGCCGCCACUCUUGUAGGGCAUUGAGUACACAGAAGCUCUUGCUCUGUGGUAGUGUAAUUGACAUCGGCAGGUGUGAACUUUUGGCUGGUGUGGGCGACGGGGUGGCCAUCCUGUAGCAGUGCACCGCCUGUGCCGUAGAUGCUGGCGUCAGUUACGACUUUGAAGGGUUUGGUAAAGUCAGGAAGGUGCAACAACGGGCGUUGAUGAGGGCGUAUUUAAUGCCGUCGAAAGCCUGCUGGUGCAAGUUCUUCCUUCCGUCAGCCGUUUGCUGCCGGUGAGGGCCGUGAGUGGAGUCGCUAGCGAUGAGUACCCUUGGGUGAACUUGCGGAAGUAGCUCACAAGGCCCAGGAAGCCGCACAGCGCCGUCCUGUCUUUUGGGACGGGGUCGUUCUUAACGGCCUCAAUUUUUCAGGGAUCCACCUCAGUCUAUACUGGCCUACGAAGUGGCCUAAGAAGUUGACUUCGGGCUUGUUCAGCUCGCACUUUUCGCGCGUUGCACCUUAACACGCCCCUUUGCGGGAUUCGAGUACGGCACGCAUGUGCUCGAGGUGGCUGGUCGGAUCUUUGCUGAAGAUGAGGAUAUCAUCUAGGUUGACAACGCAGUAAGCGUCGAUGAGCACGGUGUUUAUGACCUUUUGAAAGGUCGCCGGUGCAUUAGUCAACCCGAAGCACAGCACUUUGUACUGGAACGUUCCGAAGGGUGUCAUGAGGCUGGUUUUUGGGAUGUCCUCCUCCGUGAUGCGAAUUUGAUGGUAGCCGCUUUGCAGGACGAGGGAUGGGAAGAUACUCGCGCUCUGGAGUGUGUUGAAGAGGUUGGUGAUGUUCGGAAGUGGAUACCGGUUUUUAUGGUGAUUUUGUUAAAUAGAGUGCUAAAGUCAAGGCACAUGAGAAGCGAGCCGUCCUUCUUUUGUGCGAAGAGGACGUGCGCACCGAAUGGUGACUUCGAUUCUUCGAUAAAGCCUUUGGCCAGCAAGUCAGAGAGCUGCUUUUUCAACUUCGUUUGUCCAGUCGUGAAAGCCGGUNNNNNNNNNNNNNNNNNNNNNNNNNNNNNNNNNNNNNNNNNNNNNNNNNNUCUGCAGCGGAUGUGAGCGGCCAUGGCGUGUCACCAUGCAGGUGCCCUGGCCAAAGUCGAGUACUGCACCGUGUUCACGCAUCCAGCGGCUACCAAGCAUGAGAUCCAUGCCUUCGACUAGCUUAGGCAUGACCUGCGCUACGAUUUUGCAGCGGAACCCUUGGGUACGGAUCGACAGGUGUACCUGAUCUUGCUUGCAGACGCUGUNUGCGCCGUCUCAGCACGCAAGAUGCUACAUGGCUUGCGUGGGGCUGUAAAAUUAGUUUUUGCAUGAGUGUGGCGAGAGAUGAGAGAACAUGUGAAGCGCCUGAGUCAACUAAGGUGCUGGCUUUGGUGCUAGCCAAGUUGCACGGUAAUGGCAGCACGGAGCUGUCAGUAAGAGGUUCUAGUGCAGAACACUUAGCAGUUUCCUGACAGGUGUCGAGACAAGCGUGGAACUCACCAGUGCAGAAUGGGUAGAGGUGGGAGAGGAGGGAGAGGAGGGAGAGGAGGGAGUGGAGCACGUUUUAUGUUGCUUGUUUUGCCGUGUUUGUCUUUUCGGACAACAAGGCUCAGGCUUUUGUGAACGCAUCCCAGGAUUACCCGAAUACAUCCCAGGCAAACCAGGCGAAGAAGUCGGCCUUUCGGCCACCAAGGCACAAACCAGGUACAAGACGACGAACGUUUUUAUAGUGUGAAGUUAUUACACGAGCACAACUCAUCAGUUCGCUUUGCUCCUUGUAAUCAUUCCAUCGGUAAUCGCACCUCAUUCAACUCACUGUGCGCGUACCAUGUAUCAUCAGCCAAGUCCCGUCGCAACAUAGGCUGCAGCACCCCCACCCCCACCCACAACACAGUUAGACAAUUCUUCAGGUGGGCAAGCCUACAUACGCGUAGCGUGAGGAUUUGACACUGCUGAUGUGGUGACGCCAGGCCCAUCUGAGCAUCCCAGGUUACGACUUUGCUGUAUUACAGCUAAGCUUGGAGACUCAGUGUGAUGUUUUGCAGUUCGUUAGCGUCAAAAAGCUUUGAAGGACAUCAUCUAGAGGACAGGAUCUGACAGUAUGUACCACGUGAACAUCUGAAAGGCUUUGGGCCUGUUACCCUUGGCUUUUGGUGCCACCUUUUAGUGCCUCUUUCCCCUAAAAGGAAAAAUAAGGUCCAUGGAAACCAUGGCCUUUUAAUGAUUUUUGGUGGCCUACUAGGGACGGCCCUUUACUGAAGUACUAAAAGUACAACAGGUUUUCG